UACGUAGGGGGCGAGCGUUGUCCGGAUUUAUUGGGCGUAAAGCGCGUGUAGGCGGCCAGAUAGGUCUGCUGUGAAAACUCGAGGCUCAACCUCGAGCUGUCGGCGGAAACCAUCUGGCUAGAGUCCGGAAGAGGAGAGUGGAAUUCCUGGUGUAGCGGUGAAAUGCGCAGAUAUCAGGAAGAACACCAACGGCGAAGGCAGCUCGCUGGGACGGUACUGACGCUGAGACGCGAAAGCGUGGGGAGCGAACAGG
rnacentral:rRNA from 1 species